UGGGGAAUAUUGCACAAUGGGCGCAAGCCUGAUGCAGCCAUGCCGCGUGUGUGAAGAAGGCCUUCGGGUUGUAAAGCACUUUCAGCGGGGAGGAAGGCGUUAAGGUUAAUAACCUUGGCGAUUGACGUUACCCGCAGAAGAAGCACCGGCUAACUCCGUGCCAGCAGCCGCGGUAAUACGGAGGGUGCAAGCGUUAAUCGGAAUUACUGGGCGUAAAGCGCACGCAGGCGGUCUGUCAAGUAGGAUGUGAAAUCCCCGGGCUCAACCUGGGAACUGCAUUCGAAACUGGCAGGCUAGAGUCUUGUAGAGGGGGGUAGAAUUCCAGGUGUAGCGGUGAAAUGCGUAGAGAUCUGGAGGAAUACCGGUGGCGAAGGCGGCCCCCUGGACAAAGACUGACGCUCAGGUGCGAAAGCGUGGGGAGCAAACAGG
rnacentral:rRNA from 1 species